rnacentral:rRNA from 1 species
CCGUAGCCCAAGAGAUCGGGAUAACACCUGGAAACAGAUGCUAAUACCGGAUAACAACAGAUGAUGCCUAUCAACUGUUUAAAAGAUGGUUCUGCUAUCACUCUUGGAUGGACCUGCGGUGCAUUAGCUAGUUGGUAGGGUAACGGCCUACCAAGGCGAUGAUGCAUAGCCGAGUUGAGAGACUGAUCGGCCACAUUGGGACUGAGACAAGGCCCAAACUCCUACGGGAGGCAGCAGCA